rnacentral:rRNA from 1 species
UACAGAGGGGGCAAGCGUUGUUCGGAAUUACUGGGCGUAAAGGGCUCGUAGGCGGCCAACUAAGUCGGACGUGAAAUCCCCAGGCUCAACCUGGGAACUGCGUCCGAUACUGGAUGGCUUGAAUCCGGGAGAGGGAUGCAGAAUUCCAGGUGUAGCGGUGAAAUGCGUAGAUAUCUGGAGGAAUACCGGUGGCGAAGGCGGCAUCCUGGACCGGCAUUGACGCUGAGGCGCGAAAGCCAGGGGAGCAAACGGG